rnacentral:rRNA from 1 species
GAUGAACGCUGGCGGCGUGCUUAACACAUGCAAGUCGAACGGAAAGACCCUGAGUUUGUGCGGUGCUCGAUUGGGGAAGGCGGGAGUGACACGUGUGUAUCCUGCCCUUGACUUUCGGGGAACUUCAGGAAACUGGGGCUAAUAUAGGAUAGGAUAUCCUGCUGCGUGGUGGGCGUUGGAAAGUUGCGGCUGUUGGGGAUGGACUGGCGGGUUAUCAGCUUGUUGGUGGGGUAGUGGCAUACCAAGGCUGAGAAGGGUAGGCGGCCUGAGAGGGUGAACGGCGACAUUGGUACUGCGGUACGGCGCAGACUCCAAUGGGAGGCAACGGGGGGGAGUCUUGCACAGUGGGCGGGAGUGUGAUGCAGAGACCUCGCGUGCGGGAUGCCGGCCUUCGGGUUGUAAACAGCUGUCGCCUGUGACGAAGCGUGAGUGGCGGUAAUGGGUAAAUAAGCACCGGCUAACUACGUG